rnacentral:rRNA from 1 species
CCAAUAGCGUAUAUUAAAGUUGUUGCAGUUAAAAAGCUCGUAGUUGAAUUUCGGGAUUGACGUGAUGGUCAUGCCUUAAGGGGUAUGAACUGUUGCUGUUGAUUUCUCACCUUCUGGAGAAACUUGAUGUCCUUUAUUGGGUGUCUUUCGGAUCCAGGACCUUUACCUUGAAAAAAUUAGAGUGUUUAAAGCAGGCAUUUUUGCUCGAAUACAUUAGCAUGGAAUAAUAGAAUAGGACGGCAUGGUUCUAUUUUGUUGGUUUCUAGGAUCACCGUAAUGAUUAAUAGGGAUAGUUGGGGGCAUUAGUAUUCAAUUGUCAGAGGUGAAAUUCUUGGAUUUAUUGAAGACUAACUACUGCGAAAGCAUUUGCCAAGGAUGUUUUCAUUAAUCAAGAACGAAAGUUAGGGGAUCGAAGACGAUCAGAUACCGUCGUAGUCUUAACCAUAAACUAUGCCGACUAGGAAUCAGACGAUGUUAAUUUUUUAAUGACUCGUUUGGCACCUUACG